AUGCACGCUGGCGGCGUGCCUAAUACAUGCCAGUCGAGCGAACAGAUGAGGAGCUUGCUCCUCUGACGUUAGCGGCGGACGGGUGAGUAACACGUGGAUAACCUACCUAUAAGACUGGGAUAACUUCGGGAAACCGGAGCUAAUACCGGAUAAUAUAUUGAACCGCAUGGUUCAAUAGUGAAAGACGGUUUUGCUGUCACUUAUAGAUGGAUCCGCGCCGCAUUAGCUAGUUGGUAAGGUAACGGCUUACCAAGGCAACGAUGCGGAGCCGACCUGAGAGGGUGGUCAGCCACACUGGAACUGAAACACGGUCCAGGCUCCUACGGGAGGCAGCAGUAGGGAAUCUUCCGCAAUGGGCGGAAGCCUGACGGAGCAACGCCGCGUGAGUGAUGAAGGUCUUCGGAUCGUAAAACUCUGUUAUUAGGGAAGAACAAAUGUGUAAGUAACUAUGCACGUCUUGACGGUACCUAAUCAGAAAGCCACGGCUAACUACGUG
rnacentral:rRNA from 1 species